rnacentral:lncRNA from 1 species
AUAACUUCAUCUGGGAGGAAGAACAUUCUUUCUCAUUGACAGAAAGUAAUGCAUCAUGGGUCUUGAUUUUCUCAUGUUCUUAAUGCUAUAUAACGAUUUAAUCAUUUUUUAAAUUGCUAUAAUAAUUCUGUCUCCUCUGUUACUCUCUCUAAAAAUAGUCAUUUCCUUCAUCUACUCAUUUCAAUAGCUUUUAAAUACUGCUGUCUGCUCUCUGUUUCAGGAGUGACUUCCAGCUGCAUCAGUUACACAGACCCCACCCGCAGUACCCUGCUUGACUUAACUCACUCAGAUGCCUCCAGAUCUGAGUAACUGGAGAGCUGAGCGUUUUCAGGGUCUGCAU